AGUGAACGCUGGCGGUAGGCCUAACACAUGCAAGUCGAACGGCAGCACAGUAAGAGCUUGCUCUUACGGGUGGCGAGUGGCGGACGGGUGAGGAAUACAUCGGAAUCUACUUUUUCGUGGGGGAUAACGUAGGGAAACUUACGCUAAUACCGCAUACGACCUACGGGUGAAAGCAGGGGAUCUUCGGACCUUGCGCGAUUGAAUGAGCCGAUGUCGGAUUAGCUAGUUGGCGGGGUAAAGGCCCACCAAGGCGACGAUCCGUAGCUGGUCUGAGAGGAUGAUCAGCCACACUGGAGCUGUAACACGGUCCAGACUCCUACGGGAGGCAGCAGUAGGGAAGAUUGGACAAUGGGCGGAAGCCUGAUCCAGCCAUACAGCGUGAGUGAAGAAGGACUUCGGGUUGUAAAGACCUGUUGUUGGGGAAGAAAAGCAGCAGGUUAAUACCCCGCUGUUAUGACGGUACCCAGAGAAUAAGCACCGGCUAACUUCGUG
rnacentral:rRNA from 1 species